rnacentral:sRNA from 1 species
GCCGGGCGCAGAGGUGCACGCCUGUAAUCCCAGGGGCUCAGGAGGCUGAGGCAGGAGGAUCACAAGUUCAAAGCCAGCCUCAGCAUCUGAGUGAUGCCCUAAGCAACUUGGCAAGACCCUGACUCUA